AAACAAAUAUUAAAGGCAACGCCUGCCCAGUGAACAAUUAAACGGCCGCGGUAUCCUAACCGUGCAAAGGUAGCGCAAUCACUUGUCUAUUAAUUGUAGACCUGUAUGAAAGGCAAAAUGAGGGUUUAACUGUCUCUUAUAGUUAAUCUAUUAAACUGAUCUUUUAGUAAAAAAGCUAAAAUAAGACCAUAAGACCAGAAGACCCUGUGAAGCUUAAACCAAACCAUUAAACCCAAUAAUGAUUACUUUAGGUUGGGGCGACCAAGGAAAUAAAAACAACUUCCUAAAACCAAGCAAAUCUGCUUAUUAAUCAGGCCCACAAGCCAACCAACGACCCAGUAAAACUGACAACUGAACAAAGUUACUCCAGGGAUAACAGCGCUAUCUUCUUCAAGAGCCCAUAUCAAAAAGAAGGUUUACGACCUCGAUGUUGGAUCAGGACACCCCAAUGGUGUAACCGCUAUUAAAGGUUCGUUUGUUCAACGAUUAAUGUCCU
rnacentral:rRNA from 1 species